rnacentral:rRNA from 1 species
GAAACUGCCUGAUGGAGGGGGAUAACUACUGGAAACGGUAGCUAAUACCGCAUAACGUCGCAAGACCAAAGAGGGGGACCUUCGGGCCUCUUGCCAUCGGAUGUGCCCAGAUGGGAUUAGCUAGUAGGUGGGGUAACGGCUCACCUAGGCGACGAUCCCUAGCUGGUCUGAGAGGAUGACCAGCCACACUGGAACUGAGACACGGUCCAGACUCCUACG